GUCUUGGUGGUGUAGUAGUAGCACGCGUCUCUGGUAUGGAUGAAACGCGAGUUCGACACCCGCCUGAGGUC